AUUGAACGCUGGCGGCAUGCCUUACACAUGCAAGUCGAACGGCAGCACGGGUGCUUGCACCUGGUGGCGAGUGGCGAACGGGUGAGUAAUACAUCGGAACAUGUCCUGUAGUGGGGGAUAGCCCUGCGAAAGCCGGAUUAAUACCGCAUACGAUCUACGGAUGAAAGCGGGGGACCUUCGGGCCUCGCGCUAUAGGGUUGGCCGAUGGCUGAUUAGCUAGUUGGUGGGGUAAAGGCCUACCAAGGCGACGAUCAGUAGCUGGUCUGAGAGGACGACCAGCAAAACUGGGACUGGGAAACGGCCCAGACUCCUACGGGAGGCAGCAGUGGGGAAUUUUGGACAAUGGGCGAAAGCCUGAUCCAGCAAUGCCGCGUGUGUGAAGAAGGCCUUAGGGUUGUAAAGCACUUUUGUCCGGAAAGAAAUCCUUGGCCCUAAUACGGUCGGGGGAUGACGGUACCGGAAGAAUAAGCACCGGCUAACUACGUG
rnacentral:rRNA from 1 species